AUGCUCGGCUUCCUUCGUGGUUUCUGGCUGGAGGGCUGCCACUGGGGCGAAAAAGGUCCCGUCCCACGCUUCACGUCGACCGCGAAAUUCGGCGCGCGCAUUCCCGACGACGAAUGGGACGACUACGACUACUCUGCGUGGGACUGCCGCCAUGGCCGCGUCCUUCUUGGGGAUGCGCGUUACUCCGCGCUCCUCGUCUGGGACCCCAUGACGGGCUGCCGGAGGGGGCUGGACUGGCCCAACCUGGCAGACAACAGCCGCGGGGUUGCCGUGCUCUGCGCCGUUAGCGGCUGUGACCACCACACUUGUCACGCGGCUCCGUUCCAGGUGGUUUUUGUCGGCGUGGAAAUGGGAGAAGAUGGGGAUGAUGAUGAUUGUGCUGCAUUCGCUUGUGUGUCCUUGCCAGAGCCCGGCGACUGGAGCAAGCCAUGCCCUCCAUGUGAUCGGUGGAGCGAGCCAUGCCCUCUUCUUCAUCUUCCAGCCGAUGCAUUCAUCAGGCCAAUCCCCCCUGUCCUCAUCCAAGAAGCACUUCACUUCAUGAUUCAGUCUCUUAAAGACGAUAGUGAAGAAAUUCUCAAGUAUGACUUGAGCUCUAAUAGCUUAUCACUGAUUGGUGCACCGAUUGAGGAUUCCGAAACUGUCACUUCCUCUAUCCUCAUGGCGAUGGAGGAUGACAGUUUGGGGUAUGCACAUGUCAAUGGAUCAACCUUCUACCUAUGGUCCAGACUGAUGGAUUCCAACGGAGUUGCCUCAUGGAGUCAACGUACAAUUAUCAAUCUCAUGAGCAUUCUCCCCAUCCAAAAUCCUGUGGAAACAAUUAGAGUAGUUGGAUCCGUGGAAGGCGGUGAUGUCAUUUUCCUCACCACGGUGCUGGGCAUCUAUGAGAUUAACGUCGAUUCGCAGCGAUGGAAGAAGAUAGGGAAGAGAGAAAAUUUAGAUGCUGUGAUUCCAUACAUGAGUUUCUACAAUCGACAAGAAAGGGUGAUGCCCAAUGACGUGGCGCAUUGA
rnacentral:rRNA from 1 species